CUUUCGUGCCAAAGCAGGACACGUGUACACAAAAGAGAAACCAGAACACACACACACACACACACACACGCCCAUACAUACACGCAUAGCCGUUUCACUUCUCCGCCUUGUGGUCACUUGUCUCUUUCUCUCUCCUUCUCUAUUCGGUAAUCUCAAAUCGUUGAGACGCGCCCCCUUUUUGGCCCUUCUCCUUUGUACAGCCCACAAGAAGCAAAGAACACGCUGCCUCGAGCGGUAUCUGCGUUUAUUUUUUUUUCUUUUGGUAUCCUCCCUCUUGCCUUGUGCCGCCGUAAGAUUCCAUACACCUCUGUGCGCCACACCAUUGUCACUCUCCUCUUCCCCCCUCUUUCUCGGCUCUCUACAGCUGAGCAGCUCGCAAGCCUCUUCUGUCCCCUUUUCAGCACUCCUUGCCCUAGUUUUAGAGCAGCUCGCAGUCUUUUGUUUUUCUCCUCCAUCCCUCGCUCGUUCGGCUUUGCGGCUGAGGGGAUACAAGUGCGUUCAUCGAAAGUUGCACAGGCCGCAGUGAACCAUGGCGGACAACGAAUGGAAGGGAGCCAGCUUCAAGCAGGAUGAGGACCAUUCUGCGGAGACGGCAAAGCUGCUAGAGCGGGUGAACGCGACAACGAUACCUGUUCUUCUUCGCAGCAGCAACGCAAAGCUGGGUGACAUCGUCGCUGAACUGCUUGCGCUGGAAAAGGUGUCCCGUCUCGGCGGCGAUGCUGCCUCUACGAAGCUGCUGGCGGUGGAGGUGCUGCGCAUCUACCGCACGCAGAAUGAACUGGACCAAAUGCUCGAAACACUGGACAUGCUGAUGAAAAAGCGCGGCCAGACCAAGCAGGCUCAGAGCGCCAUGAUCGCCGAGUGCGCAAUCGUCCUGACGGACGACUCCUUGGCGAAGGAGAAGCAGGAGGAGGUGCUCGAGCGCCUGGCCUACGUGACGGAGAACAAGAUCCACGUCGAGCUGGAGCAUGCACGUUUCACCAUUGAGCUGGCGACUCUUCAUGAGGCGGCGGGCCGCAAGCGCUCCGCGUGCGAUAUGCUGCGCACGCUGCACAUCGAAACCAUCACAAACAUGCCGCGCUUAGAGAAGCUGGAGGCGCUGAAUCAGCAGAUCCGCCUCUGCCUAGAGCUGGAGGACUACGACCACAUCCCUCUUGUUUCAAGAAAAAUCAAUCAUCGCGGUCUUGGCCGCGACGAAGCCCAGCAGCAGAAGCUCAAGUACUUUGAGCUCAUGCGCGCAUACUAUGCACACAAGGAGUCCUUCUUCAACGUUGGCCGGUGCUGGUACGAGACGUAUAACACCGUGAAGAGCACCGAUGACAAGCUGUCUGCCUUAAGCAACAUGGUGGUACACUAUCUCAUCGCCGAGAAUGCUACCGCGAAGGAAAUCGAGGACCUGGCGGAGUGCACGGCGUUUGCACCUGCCACCAAGCUGCAUGAUCGUGUUGCAGCUCUUUCAACCAUUAGCGAGAAGCUGAGGAGCGACCUGGAGGACAUCCCGCAGCUGUACGCACUUCUGCAGCGCUUCAACAGUAUUGAGCUGAUCCAGGAGAGGGUCUCCUCGGAGGUGGAGGUGCUGUGCCAGACCCACCCCGAGCUGGCUCCGUACCCUGCGCGUCAGGAACUGCUCAGCAACCGCUGCAGCGAGCACGACAUCAUGGUCAUUGCCCGCUUCUACACUCGCAUCCCACUCAAGCGUCUUGCGGAGCUGGUGCAUCUGUCGCCAGAGCAUACGGAGAUGUUCAUCAUGACAAUGGUCACGAACAAGACCUUGUACGCGAAGAUGGACCGUGUGGAUGAGCUGGUGGUGUUCGAGGCGCGAAAGAACACGACGGAGGUCGUUGCGUCGUGGAACGACUCGGUCGAACGCAGCGUUGCACUGCUCGACAAGGCAUCGCACCUCAUUACAAAGGAGCGGAUGCUGCACAACCUUGCCUCGCGGAAAGUCCACUAGAGGUGGGCUAGGGAUGAUGCAGCGGCUACACAUGUGUAUGUGUGUGUGUGCAUUUGUGUCGUCGAUAUCACGUGCGCUGACGAUGCCUCUCUUAUCUGUAGGGCACAGUCGGAGGCUCCUACCGCUUUCACCGUCGAUGGAAUCUGCGCGAUCGGUUUCGAACGCUCCGACUCUUUUGCCUCCCUCCCAACAGGAGUAGUGGGCGCUUAUUUUACCUCUCUUGUCCGACGAGCAAGGCGUGGCCGCUUUCGGGGAGUGAGAACACGAUGCGUUGUUGACUGCGUCUCUUUCUGUCUCUGCAACUUCAUUCCCUUCCAGAUGCUCCGUAGGCGCUCUGCGCUUCUUCUAUGUGUGUGGUUGUUGUGCGUGUGUGGGUGUUUACGCGUUUGUGUGAGCUCUGAAGUGGCCCUUCCUGGGCCGAUCACAUCUGUGGUCUGGAAGGAAC
rnacentral:misc_RNA from 1 species